rnacentral:rRNA from 1 species
UACAGAGGUCUCAAGCGUUGUUCGGAUUCAUUGGGCGUAAAGGGUGCGUAGGCGGCGUGGUAAGUCGGGUGUGAAAUCUCGGAGCUUAACUCCGAAACUGCAUUCGAUACUGCCGUGCUUGAGGACUGGAGAGGAGACUGGAAUUUACGGUGUAGCAGUGAAAUGCGUAGAGAUCGUAAGGAAGACCAGUGGCGAAGGCGGGCCUCUGGACAGUUCCUGACACUGAGGCACGAAGGCCAGGGGAGCAAACGGG